rnacentral:rRNA from 1 species
AUUGAACGCUGGCGGCAGGCCUAACACAUGCAAGUCGAGCGGCAGCACUUCGGGUGGCGAGCGGCGGACGGGUGAGUAACACGUAGGAAUCUACCUAGUAGUGGGGGAUAGCCCGGGGAAACUCGGAUUAAUACCGCAUACGCUCUACGGAGGAAAGGGGGCUUCGGCUCUCGCUAUUAGAUGAGCCUGCGUCGGAUUAGCUAGUUGGUGAGGUAAAUGCUCACCAAGGCGACGAUCCGUAACUGGUCUGAGAGGAUGAUCAGUCACACUGGAACUGAGACACGGUCCAGACUCCUACGGGAGGCAGCAGUGGGGAAUAUUGGACAAUGGGGGAAACCCUGAUCCAGCCAUGCCGCGUGUGUGAAGAAGGCCUCGGUUGUAAG